GACAGAGGGUGCAAACGUUGUUCGGAUUUACUGGGCGUAAAGCGCGUGUAGGCGGCUUUGCAAGUCGGAUGUGAAAGCCCACGGCUCAACCGUGGAAGUGCAUCCGAAACUGCAUGGCUUGAGUCUCGGAGAGGAAGGUGGAAUGCUUGGUGUAGAGGUGAAAUUCGUAGAUAUCAAGCAGAACACCUGCGGCGAAGGCGGCCUUCUGGACGAUGACUGACGCUGAGACGCAAAAGCGUGGGGAGCAAACAGG
rnacentral:rRNA from 1 species